AGCCUUGGGGUGUUUCACGUCAAAAUGCAAAUUUGAAGAAGGACCCAAACGGGUCCCGGGGCUU
rnacentral:tRNA from 1 species